ensembl:lncRNA
CCCCGUGCGGUCAGUGGCGUUUCCGCUCGGGCAGCGGGCUGAGUGAGCUGCCGCCGCUGCUGCCGCCGCCGCCGCCGGGGGAGGGGCGGCCGCCGCCCGCCUGCGCUCAGAGACUCACGCAGCCCCAGUCCCGCCAGUCCGCCAACACAGUAGUGCCGGCCCCCUCCUUCCUUGGCCCUUCCCCCUCCCUGCCUUUGGCUCGCUCCGCCUUUCUGUCCCCCACCCCCACCUCACGGGUACGGGCCAUUCCCGGCCAGGAAACGCCGUGGCGCCGCGUUGGGCCUAACUCGAGUCUUGCUGCCUCCCGGGAGUGCCGUGCGCCGCAGCCCGGGCCCAGGCCCCGGCAGCGCCUGGGACAAGGAUUCCUCAUGUCCAUAACAUGUUGGCUGAGGCUCUGCAGCUCACCCCCACUCCCAGAGUGGUUAGUCUCCAUUAAUUGGACCCCGUGA